UACGUAGGGUGCGAGCGUUGUCCGGAAUUAUUGGGCGUAAAGAGCUUGUAGGUGGUUUGUCGCGUCUGCUGUGAAAAAUCCGAGGCUCAACCUCGGACUUGCAGUGGGUACGGGGCAGACUAGAGUGUGGUAGGGGGAGACUGGAAUUCCUGGUGUAGCGGGUGGAAUGCGCAGAUAUCAGGGAGGAACACCGGUGGCGAAGCGGCUCUCUGGGGACGGUACUGACGCUGAGACGCGAAAAGCGUGGGGGAGCGAACAGG
rnacentral:rRNA from 1 species